UGAUCAGAGCGGCUUCAGCUAGCUGCAUGCAUGGAGGAACCCCACGUUGUCGACGCUGUGGGCAGGACUGGGGAAGCGGCUGCUGUUGUGACUCAAUCAAAGAAAAAUGUAUAUGAUCUCAUGUGGAAAAGUUGAAAGAAAAAACUAAAUUCAAGGGAGGCAGACGAGUCAACUUCUGAGGAAGCUGAAACCCUUCGCUGUGUGCAGGAGAUCAUUCUGCGGUUAUUGCUGUCUGCAGGAGCAGAGGACGGCUGACCUGUCUGCAACAGAUCCACCCAGACCCAGCUCUGCUGUAACCACAAAUAUCACAGCAGGGUUUCCUUCUGCCUGUAGC